AGGCACUGCUCACUCAGUAAUGCAGCUUCACAUACAGCUUGGGCAGCACGUACGAAUCAAAGACACUGGCUUCAGAGAUGUCCCGCACCGCGGCGGCCUCCAUGAUGUUCCGGAUGAUGAACUUCUUGAUGGCCUUGUCCUUGGGGACGCAGAGGGCGCAGUUGGUGCAGCGGAUGGGCUGGACGUGCCCCCGGCCCUUCUUGGUGUGCUCGUUGUUCCGCCUCUUCUUGGUCAUCUUGGAACAGACGAGGCGGAA